GUAGGUGAACCUGCGGAAGGAUCAUUAUCGAGAUGGGGGCUUUCGGCCCCGAACCUCCCACCCAUGCUUACCGACCUUUUGUUGCUUUGGCGGGCUUGCGGCCAGGUUGAAUCCCGGCCGCCGCUGCGUGCCCGCCGAAAGCUCACCCAAACUCGUUUACCGGUGACGUCUGAGGAAUCAAACAAAUAAUCAAAACUUUCAACAACGGAUCUCUUGGUUCUG
rnacentral:misc_RNA from 1 species